rnacentral:rRNA from 1 species
AGUGAACGCUGGCGGUAGGCCUAACACAUGCAAGUCGAACGGCAGCACAGUAAGAGCUUGCUCUUACGGGUGGCGAGUGGCGGACGGGUGAGGAAUACAUCGGCAUCUGCUUUUUCGUGGGGGAUAACGGAGGGAAACUUACGCUAAUACCGCAUACGACCUACGGGUGAAAGCAGGGGAGCUUCGGACCUUGCGCGAUUGAAUGAGCCGAGGUCGGAUUAGCUAGUUGGCAGGGUAAAGGCCCACCAAGGCGACGAUCCGUAGCUGGUCUGAGAGGAUGAUCAGCCACACUGGAACUGAGACACGGUCCAGACUCCUACGGGAGGCAGCAGUGGGGAAUAUUGGACAAUGGGCGCAAGCCUGAUCCAGCCAUACCGCGUGGGUGAAGAAGGCCUUCGGGUUGUAAAGCCCUUUUGUUGGGAAAGAAAAGCAGCAGGUUAAUACCCCGCUGUUCUGACGGUACCCAAAGAAUAAGCACCGGCUAACUUCGUG